AAUCUACGCCGGCGAGAAAAGUUGCUAAAUAUUUCGAGGUACCCGUACCGCAAACCGACACAGGUAGACGAGAAGAAAAUUCUAAGACGAACGGGAGAACCCUUGUUAAGGAACUCGGCAAAACGACCCCGUAACUUCGGGAGAAGGGGAGCCAUCGAGAGAUGGCCGCAGUGAAGAGGCCCAAGCGACUGUUUAUCAAAAACACAGGUUUCUGCUAAGGCGAAAGCCAAGGUAUAGGAGCUGACUCCUGCCCAGUGCCGGAAGGUCAAGGGGACUUGUUAGCAGCAAUGCGAAGCAACGAACUUAAGCCCCGGUGAACGGCGGCCGUAACAAUAACGGUCCUAAGGUAGCGAAAUUCCUUGUCGGGUAAGUUCCGACCCGCACGAAUGGGGUAACGAUUUGGGCGCUGUCUCAACAGGGGGCCCGGCGAAAUUGUAGUAUACGUGAAGAUGCGUAUUAACCCGCGACUGGACGGAAAGACCCCGUAGAGCUUUACUGUAGCUUGAUAUUGAAUCUCGGCAACUGAUGCACAGAAUAGGUGGGAGACUGAGAAGCAGCGUUUUCGGGCGCUGCGGAGUCAACUUUGGGAUACCACUCUUCGGUUGCUGCGAUUCUAACCGAAAACCGUGAAACCGGGUUCGGGACAUUGUCAGGCGGGCAGUUUGACUGGGGCGGUCGCCUCCUAAAGAGUAACGGAGGCGCUCAAAGGUUCCCUCAGAAUGGUUGGAAAUCAUUCGACGAGUGUAAAGGUAUAAGGGAGCUUGACUGUGAGACUGACAAGUCGAACAGGUGCGAAAGCAGGACUUAGUGAUCAGGUGGUAUGAGAAUGGAAUUGCCAUCGCUUAACGGAUAAAAGUUACCUCGGGGAUAACAGGCUUAUCUCCCCCAAGAGUUCACAUCGACGGGGAGGUUUGGCACCUCGAUGUCGGCUCGUCACAUCCUGGGGCUGAAGCAGGUCCCAAGGGUUCGGCUGUUCGCCGAUUAAAGUGGCACGCGAGCUGGGUUCAAAACGUCGUGAGACAGUUUGGUCCCUAUCCAUCGUGGGCGUAGGAUAUUUGAGAGGGUUUGUCCUUAGUACGAGAGGACCGGGAUGAACGCACCUACCGUGCAUCUGUUGUCGCGCCAGCGGCAUGGCAGAGUAGCGGAGUGCGGUUGAGAUAAACGCUGAAAGCAUCUAAGCGUGAAACUCGCCUCAAGAUAAGAUAUCCCAUAUCGUAAGGUAGUAAGACCCCUUGCAGACGACAAGGUUGAUAGGUCGGAGAUGGAAGCGCAGUAAUGCGUGCAGUUGACCGAUACUAAUAGGUCGAGGGCUUGAUA
rnacentral:rRNA from 1 species